rnacentral:tRNA from 1 species
GCCGAGAUAGCUCAGGGGUAGAGCAAUAGAUUGAAAAUCUAUGAGUCGUUCGUUCAAAUCGGACUCUUGGC